UUCAGUCAAUAUUUUUCCACUCUCUCUCCUUCCUCUCUCUUUCCUCUCUCUUCUUCAUCAAUCUCUCUCCCUUCCGCCAUUGUUAUAAAUCCUUCUCUUCUUCCCCUUUCUCCACCUAACCCUAAACCACUUCCACACGCAGACCUCGGAGAUUCCUCAUCCCCCUUCUCUAUGGAAGUGGCGGUUCCGGUCGCUCCCGUCGACUUCAACUUCGACAGCGCCUGUUCUUCUCCUUACAUGACCGCUCCUUCCAGUCCUCAGCGCUUCGGCAACUUCUUCUUCUCCAGCGCUCCCACCUCUCCUUCACACGCCGCCGCAUUCUACUACGACUUCAACGAGUUUGAUUCUGCCUAUGGCGAUGGAAGGAGUUCUUCCGCUUCCGAAAUCCCUUUCCUCUGGGAGGAGUUGCCUGGAA
rnacentral:misc_RNA from 1 species